rnacentral:misc_RNA from 1 species
GGUAGGAUUAAAUGGGAUAAUGGUUUGGAGUGAAAAUUAAAAGUUGGGAAGUGACUUGUCAUGUGUUGUUGCUACAAAUUGAAAAGAGAUGAGAAGGCCUUUUUCUAUGCCGUUAGUACCUGAAAUGAUCGUGUUUUGCCCUAUCCAGUAGGCAAGAAUAAAUAUAAAUUAAUUCAUGAAAUAUUAUGAUUAAUUCUAAAUUGUUGUUUAGUUGUAUUUAACUGCAAUUCAUGUAGUUGAGGAAGAUAUAAUUGUGUGCCAUUUAAUUUCUACUCACUGGAUACUCAUUCCAUUUGUAUUUUGUUCUCCCUUCUAUUUAUAUGAUUUUCUUGGUUUUCAUGAAGAUGAUUUUGAAUAUAUGUUGCAUA